rnacentral:misc_RNA from 1 species
GAUCAUUACCGAGUUAUUCAACUCAUCAACCCUGUGAACUUACCUAAACGUUGCUUCGGCGGGAAUAGACGGCCCUGUAAAACGGGCCGCCCCCGCCAGAGGACCCUUAACUCUGUUUCUUAUAAUGUUUCUUCUGAGUAAAACAAGCAAAUAAAUUAAAACUUUCAACAACGGAUCUCUUGGCUCUGGCAUCGAUGAAGAACGCAGCGAAAUGCGAUAAGUAAUGUGAAUUGCAGAAUUCAGUGAAUCAUCGAAUCUUUGAACGCACAUUGCGCCCGCCAGUAUUCUGGCGGGCAUGCCUGUUCGAGCGUCAUUACAACCCUCAGGCCCCCGGGCCUGGCGUUGGGGAUCGGCGGAGCGCCCCUCGUGGGCGCACGCCGUCCCCCAAAUACAGUGGCGGUCCCGCCGCAGCUUCCAUCGCGUAGUAGCUAACACCUCGCGACUGGAGAGCGGCGCGGCCACGCCGUAAAACACCCCAACUCUUCUGAAGUUGACCUCGAAUCAGGUAGGAAUACCCGCUGAACCUAAGCAUAUCAAUA